CCUACGGGAGGCAGCAGUGAGGAAUAUUGGUCAAUGGGCGCUAGCCUGAACCAGCCAAGUAGCGUGAAGGAAGACUGCCCUAUGGGUUGUAAACUUCUUUUGUAUGGGAAUAAAGUGCAGUAUGUAUGCUGCUUUGCAUGUACCUUAUGAAUAAGGAUCGGCUAACUCCGUGCCAGCAGCCGCGGUAAUACGGAGGAUGCGAGCGUUAUCCGGAUUUAUUGGGUUUAAAGGGUGCGUAGGCGGUUUUUUAAGUUAGUGGUUAAACGUCGGGGCUUCACCUUGAUUUGCCCUUUAUACUGUAAGACUUGAGUGUAGAUGAGGUAGGCGGAAUGAGUGGAGUAGCGGUGAAAUGCUUAGAUAUCACACAGAACUCCGAUAGCGAAGGCAGCUUACCAGACUGCGACUGACGCUGAGGCACGAGAGCGUGGGGAGCGAACAGGAUUAGAUACCCGUGUAGUC
rnacentral:rRNA from 1 species